rnacentral:rRNA from 1 species
GACGUAGGUGGCGAACGUUAUCCGGAAUUAUUGGGCGUAAAGGGUGCGUAGGUGGUCUGAUAAGUUUAUCAGUGGCAAAUCGAGGCUCAACCUCGUGGAAACUGGUAAUACUGUCCGACUUGAGUACAGGAGAGGUUAACGGAACUCCACGUGGAGCGGUAAAAAUGCGAAGAUAUGUGGAUGAACAUCAAUAACGGCGAAGGCAGUUUAACUAUUCUGUUACUGACACUGAGGCACGAAAGCGUGGGGAGCAAAACGG